UACUCGGUGGUGUAACGGUAGCACAGGGGCCUUUGACGCCCUUAGUCAAGGUUCAAAUCCUUGCCGGGUAACCA
rnacentral:tRNA from 2 species